AUUGAACGCUGGCGGCAGGCUUAACACAUGCAAGUCGAGCGAGCGGCGGACGGGUGAGUAAUAUAUGGGAAACUGCCUAGUGGCGGGGGAUAACUACUGGAAAGGGUAGCUAAUACCGCAUACCAUCAGAUGUGCCCAUAUGGGAUUAGCUAGUUGGUGGGGUAAAGGCUCACCUAGGCGACGAUCCCUAGCUGGUUUGAGAGGAUGACCAGCCACACUGGGACUGAGACACGGUCCAGACUCCUACGGGAGGCAGCAGUGGGGAAUAUUGCACAAUGGGCGCAAGCCUGAUGCAGCCAUGCCGCGUGUGUGAAGAAGGCCUUCGGGUUGUAAAGCACUUUCAGCGGGGAGGCGUUACCCGCAGAAGAAGCACCGGCUAACUCCGUGCCAGCAGCCGCGGUAAUUC
rnacentral:rRNA from 1 species